rfam:Dichomitus squalens LYAD-421 SS1 unplaced genomic scaffold DICSQscaffold_33, whole genome shotgun sequence.
GGCGCUAUAGCGUAGUGGUUAUCACUUGGGAUUCUGAAUUUGUAUUCCCAAAACCCAGGUUCGAGCCCUGCCAGCGCCU